CGGGCUAAAUCCGUGGUGACCGCCCCCGAAACGGGGCUUCCCUUCGGGGCGCCAGGGAAGGUGCUGCAUGGCUGUCGUCAGCUCGUGCCGUGAGGUGUUGCCUUAAGUGGCGCAACGAGCGCAACCCCUGUGGUUAGUUACCAGCACGUGAAGGUGGGGACUCUAGCCAGACUGCCUACGCAAGUAGUGAGGAAGGUGGGGAUGACGUGCUUGCUAGGUAA
rnacentral:misc_RNA from 1 species